GAGAACAACUUUCAUGUUUUUAUUGCUGCCUUAGAAGCAAUUGAUAAACAGUACACUUCAUAUAUAAAUGAGCAUGUGUCAAUAUAUGACAACAAAAAUAAAUUACAGUGACAUAGUAUUUAACUUUACAAGGUUGUACAAAAUUUCCAAAUAUGAAUAGAUUUCAACUUAAAAUUUUGAAAUAAGUUAAAACUUCAACUAUUCUGAAGACUUAAAAAUAUACAUACAGUUUCACUCAAUCACAUCAUUUACAGUAUGAUUUUUUUUUUAAGCUGUUUAUUCUUAUACAUCCAUAUAUUUUUGACUGUAUUAGUGGAAUAUAUCCUGCUAUAUGCAGCUUUGCUGCAGUGGGAUAAAAGGGUUCCCUGAGGGCACAGAACAGGCUUUGAGUGUUUAUAUUUUAAAUAAUUUGAUUACAUAUAUUAGCUAGAAAUAUAAACCCAAAGUGUUAUUUAUCUGUCCUAUAAUGAGAGACUGAUUUAUCUGCUCUUUCUAGAAUUUCCAUUGAUGCUAAUGAGAAUUUUGAAGAAAGCUUAACAGCAGGAUUGAACUAAACUAAGUCUGAUUAGCCAGGAUGAAUUAGGUCAAACUAUUUAAUGAAAUAUUUGAAGAAUAUCUGUUUAGUAUUAGAUGUCAUUAUAGACUACAUAGCUAGUCCUGGCUAUGCACUGGCAUAUUUGCUUCCACAACUAAUAGAAAAAUAUAUUUGAUAUGAUACUUUGAAGUGGUGGGAUGGAUUAUGAAUUGGCAUUUUUAACACCUCAAUGAUAUGCACAUGAUUACUUUAUUAAAUAUUAUAAAGAUUAAAAGCAUUUCCCAAAACUCCUUGGCUGUUGAGUAUGUGAUAAUUGAGAAUUCCAAGGGUCUAAUUCAAGCUGUAAAAUAAGGUAAGGUGGAGGAAAUUCAUUCUGUGGCUGGAUCACUCCUGAUAACUUUAACUAAGGCUGGUGCAAACAGACUCUGUGCACCAUCAAAAAGGCAAAGUCUUGUCAAUUCAGAAACCAUUCAUAAGAAAACAGAUAAAGAAAGAAAUUUUAACAAACUGGCACAUGUGAGAAAAUUGCUCAAUUGUCAAAAAAAAAGAAAAAAAGAGGAAGACACUUGCACAGAGUGGGUGUUAAACUGCCUGCAAUUAAUUUGGUAAGAAAUAAAAAAGAAAUCCAAGAUGCCUAUUUGUGAGACUGAAUUUUCUUUUCCUUGAAUAUGUUAAAAUAUCUAUCAGAAUGCUGCACCAGUAAUCCACAAUCUUUCCUCUAAACAAAUAAAUGUUCUGUGUACAUCAUUUAAAUGAAAAAUGAAGAAAAGGAGCCAUAAACAGGCCAGAGCUGUGCAAUGCCUCAUUUCCAUUUUCCUCUAAUGUUAUUGGUAAUAAAGACCUCUGCAGUCUACAAUUUUCAGGGAAAAUUAUUUUAGAAGCCACUGUUUUUGUUGUGUGAAUAUGCUGUCACUGGGCAGCAGGAAGGAGGAAGGGAACUGGAAGGAGAUAUACAUACAUACAUAUAUAUAUAUACAUAGACACACAGCAAUUUCACUGAACAACAGACUGGGUCAUUAAGUGAAUUAAUAGCAGUCAAAGAAUAUUGCAGCAUAUGACUGGAGUCAAAAUUUUCUUCUACAAAUCUGCACCUAAGGGGAGUCCUCCCACACUGAAGGGAAGGACAGUUUCCCCAAAGGAAAGCAUCUACAUGACGAAGACUUCAAAACACUUUCUAGAUUGUUUACCCCUCUUGCAACCUGUAAUCUCAAAUUACUUCAAUCAAAACAAUUACAUUUCUCUUAAUUGCUUGUUCUGUGUUCUGCCCCUGUUUUGGCUCCUGAGAGGAAAAAAAAUGACAUGGAAAUAUAUCUCAAAAGUUCAAGGAACAUGUAGCAGUUAUGUAAACCUUACCUCACCGACUGCUUGGCACACAGUGUAUUACUGUACAAUCAGAUAUGUCUUUUAUAUCCCAUAAUUUGUUUUUAUCUUAACUAGCAAGCUGCUCUAUGAGCAGCAACCAAAGAAAUGAGUUUAUCUCCUUAUAUUAAUGCAAUUGUUAUCAGGGGCAUACAGGGUAAAAAUAAUUUGUAGAUUAAUGUAUCUGCAAGGAAAUUUCCACAUGGGAAGGUGCCACCUGAUUAGUUUUCUGUGGAGAGUUAAAAAAAAAAAUUAAAAAAAAAAAAAAAAGGUGUUAAAGCAUCUUGGCAGGAGAAAAGUCUCUUAAGACCACAAUGUUCCACUGUGAUAGUUCAGUGGGAGCCAAGUUUUGACAGCACAUUUUGGGCUGAUACCCAUGUGGUGAAAGGAGAAAUGUGAGCUCUUGUGGGACUCUUGACCUCUACUGAUAUAUUGAUUUUUCUACCAACACACAGCCAUCCAUAUCCUGCCCUCAGGACUGCAAUGGUGGCAGUCAUGCCAGAGGGGAGAGUAAAGCAUUUGAAUCACUCUCAGUACAUCUCUUACUCUCAUUUUUAUUAACUGCAAAAGGGAAGGUUCCUCUAAAAUUCUGAAGCCAAGGAAAACGAUUGCUCUUCAUCCUUAUCUGCCUCUACUCUUCCAAUUACUGUGCUAGUGUCUUGCAAACUGCUUCCAAUAUGAACUAGGGCCAAUUAUAAUUUAUGAGAGUUUAACAAGACAUAGAAUUUAAUUACAUGGCAGAAAAAUUGCUGCAGAGUAAGGCAGGUGUUAGCAAACAAAGAUCAACUUGGCCAAUAAUUUAAAAAAUGCUAAUAUUCUGUCUAGUACCUGAAUGGGUAGCUACGACUAGAUCAAUAGACACCAGAUUUUGAGUGAAUGCUCAAGCACUGUCUUUGUACACAGCAGAAGUUGAGGGGCUCUUUCCUACUGUUUCCUGUUAUUUUAUGAGUUUACUGUACAUUCAGCUCCACUGGUUUUGAAGAAAAUCAGUUUUAUAAGGCAUUAAAUUACAAAUUCCUUUUCAUGAGAUUGGUUUCUAAGAUGAUUAAUUACAGCAUGCAAUUUCUUCAUAUAUUUCAAAAUCAGAAAUCUACAGGCAAAAGUAAACCUAUUUAAAAUUUUAAAGCCUUAAAAGUAUGUGUUCAGAUAUUGUCUCUGGGACUUGUUUACUCCAUAACCAGCAGAACAGAAUGCUUUCAAGUAAUAGUAACAUAUCAGGAAACACAUAAAAUAUGUUCAUCAGAUUCCUGCAAUGUUAUCUCUAUUUCUAUCACAAAAAUACUCGCUAUCUCCAAAUAGAAGCAGGAAGCUUAUGGCUCUUUCUUGUAACAACUUGACUGGUGUGGCCCACACCCUUCCUGCUUGGGGUGGCAGGGGCAGGAGUUCAAUUCCAACUUCCUGUGAGGCAGAAGUCCCAUGACUGCUGGUCAGCUUUGAGACAGGUGGAAUUGGGUUGAGAAGCAACUGGGUGAUGGGACACCUCUAGAAAACCAGGGAUAGUUCAUAUCAAAAAAACCAACAUCUUCAUUGUCAUCUAACAUCUACAGCUUACAACUACAAAACUUCACAUUAUAUUUAUCAUUUUCUUACCUUUUUUUUGCAAGGCAAUUAGUUGUAUUUCAGGCUUUUUAUAGCUUUAACUAAGAGCUCUUGUGUGCACUUAAUACAUAGAUUUCAAUGAUCCAUCCCUAUGCAGCUUGAUUUGGAGAACAGCUGUCCAUCCUCAGUCUUUAUAUUUCACCUCUAACGAUGGAUUCUGUAUCAGUCGAUAUGCAUUGCAAGGACUAAAAACCAAAAUCAAACAAAACCAAAAGUGGCAUGUAUGCACAUUAGUUUAAGUCUCUUGGUAUUUUUCAUGCUGAUCUUGUCUCACAGUAGGAGAAAUAUGCAACUAUGUAAUGUAGCUGUACUGUUUUGAAAACAAGUGAAAGGACCUGAAAGGACCUUCCAUCAUACUUGGUAAAGUGCAGGGGCAGAGCAGGGGAUAAAUGCUGUUCUCUCCUUUCCACAGAAGAUUUUGUUCAGAUUACCCUAUGGCCAAGAAAUCACAUUCAUUUUGAAUAAAGGAAUGAAACAUUUACUCAGAUGUACUUCUACAGCCUGAAAAGUGGAAAGUUUUUGUCCUAAUAGCACUUGUUAAAUAAACAUCAUCAAUGGAGAUAUGAAGCAAGCAAAUGGGAUGUACUUCUGAAUCAGAAAACUACAUGCCAAUUGAGGAUAAAAGCUGUUUAACUCCAGCAGUAUCUGAUUUCAUAUAGCUUUGCAGAUGCAAAGAAAUUACAUAUUUAUAUAUUGAUGGCAGAGGGUAUUCAAUAGUUAUAUUCAAUAAAUAUAUGUGAUGGGUAUGUUCAAUAGGAGGGGAGUGAUCUAUGGGAAGAAUAAAAGUAAUGAGGGGAUAAAAGUACUGAGCAUCAGGAAAUACAGCACAGGCCUAUUUCUUGUGAUGUAUCUGCAUAAGCAUAGUGCAGCACUGUGUAGGGUUCAAAGAAAAUUGGCUUAUUUGCUUUCCCCCAUGGUGUUAAUUAGUCUGUGCCACAAUUGUAAUUAUAAUUCUUGAUGUAGACACAUUAAGCACAAUUUAAGGAAGACCCUUUGGCCAUUUCCUCAUCCCUUUGGCAUCUGUAGAGUAGGUAGUAUUUCAGAAAUGACUCCAGUUGUUUUGUUACCCAAAGAUUUCAAUACAGAAGAAAAAUAGGCUCAAGAAGACUGGAUGUUUUGAAACUACAUAGGGAAUCUGAUUCUUGUCCAGAGACUUUAUUUCCAUGAUAGUGUAAAAAUGUUCAGAUCUUUUGAGUAUUUUCAGUAUAUUAACUAUGCCUGUAUGAAUUAAUUGAAAAAUAAAUGUUAAGUUCUCUUGGCACAAUAACAUCCUGUGCUUCUCUGAUUGUUAGGCAUGGUUGAGUGAUGAUUACCAGAUCAUUUCGAGAGUGCUUUCAUUCCAGAAAAUGCACGAAAUAACUUUGGUGCAGGAGCAAGAAAGAAUCUCCCACCAAAUUCCUGGAAAAUGCAUAUGUACCCAGACAAACAAGCCCUGCUUACAUAUUAAGGCCUUACUAUUUAGUCCUAGUGUGCUAUAAAAAGGAUCUCUUCACAGAGGCCUGAGUGGGGUGUCAGGGUGCUCUGCCAACAGUGUAGCUGAUGGUGAUGGCUCACAGAGUCAUUCAUACACUGAACUUUUUUGGGCACUGUUUACAUGUGUUUGUUCACCCUUAUGUAAGGAGGAUGUACACAUCUAUAAAGCCUUUAAAUGUCUUGGGUUUUUUUCCACACUUUCUGCCAAGUUACAUAAAUUUUACAGCUUCACUAGCUGGGAAAAAAUUUACCUCUCCUCACCACUGUUAGAUUGAAUGGUUUUAUUGUAAUUUUCAUAAGACACUACCUUAAGCCUGCAUCACACAGUCAAGGAUUUAUUGUUUGAAAACUCAGAAGGGGGUGAAUGAUCUAGAUAUAGUGGGUAUUUCUUAGUCUUACCAGGCAAAUGAGGUUUUUAAAUCUUGCAAAAUUCCACCCAUGAGACUGGUAAAUGGAAAGCAUUAUACUAUGCAAAAGAAAGGGCAGAGCAAUAGGAUGAGAUGAGGGAGGAUGGUAAUUUUUUAUUUCUUCUCAUUUCUAAUGGAAGAAGUGCUGUUCUUACCUCAAAGACUUUGCAGUGGUGACUUGCUGUGAUUGUAACAGUUGCCUCCAACUGUUUUCAUAGUGACUGGAUUUCUCUUUCAAUUUUGAGAAACUGGCAGUGAUGUUCACAUGGACAUAGGAGUUCCUCUUACAUGAACCUAGAUAGAAUCUACUCUGAAGCCUUUUUUUCAUAUUUGAAAAAAAGCCAGUUUGAGUUUGGGUAAUGUAAUGGAGUUAAAUCUAGUGCAGCCUUGAUGCAAUAGCUCAGUAAAUGAAAUAUGUUUGUGCAUUUCUAAAUUUUGUGUAUUGUCUAAAAAGCCAGAUCAAUACACUGAAAACACCAUCUCCAGAAAUAAGGACAAUGCAAUUGUAAAAAUUGGAAAGAUUUUGCACUAAGGAAAGAUGUGGAAACUUUUCUUGCAGAUAAGCAGAAGAGACUAAAGCACAGUUUCACUGUCCAGUUACAGCUGAUGAGGCAUCAAAGGCAAUGUUUAC
rnacentral:lncRNA from 1 species